GAUGAACGCUGGCGGCGUGCCUAAUACAUGCAAGUCGAGCGAAUGGAUUAAGAGCUUGCUCUUAUGAAGUUAGCGGCGGACGGGUGAGUAACACGUGGGUAACCUGCCCAUAAGACUGGGAUAACUCCGGGAAACCGGGGCUAAUACCGGAUAACAUUUUGAACCGCAUGGUUCGAAAUUGAAAGGCGGCUUCGGCUGUCACUUAUGGAUGGACCCGCGUCGCAUUAGCUAGUUGGUGAGGUAACGGCUCACCAAGGCAACGAUGCGUAGCCCACCUGAGAGGGUGCUGGGCCACAGUAGGACUGAGACACGGCCCAGACUCCGACGGGAGGAUGCAGUAGGGAAGCUGCCGCAAUGGACGAAAGUCUGACGAAGCAACGCCGCGUGGGUGAUGAGGGAUUUCGGGUCGUAAAACUCUGUUGUUAGGGAAGAACAAGUGCUAGUUGAAUAAGCUGGCACCUUGACGGUACCUAACCAGAAAGCCACGGCUAACUACGUGCCAGCAGCCGCCGUAA
rnacentral:rRNA from 1 species